rnacentral:rRNA from 1 species
GACGAACGCUGGCGGCGUGCUUAACACAUGCAAGUCGAACGGAAAGGCCCUGCUUUUGUGGGGUGCUCGAGUGGCGAACGGGUGAGUAACACGUGAGUAACCUGCCCUUGACUUUGUGAUAACUUCAGGAAACUGGGGCUAAUACCGGAUAGGAGCUCCUGCUGCAUGGUGGGGGUUGGAAAGUUUCGGCGGUUGGGGAUGGACUCGCGGCUUAUCAGCUUGUUGGUGGGGUAGGGGCUUACCAAGGCUUUGACGGGUAGCCGGCCUGAGAGGGUGACCGGGCACAAUGGGACUGAGAUACGGACCAGAAUGGUACGGGAGGCAGCAGGGGGGAAUAUUGCACAAUGGGCGGAAGCCAGAUGCAGAAACGCCGCGUGCGGGAUGACGGCCUUCGGGUUGUAAACAGAUUUCGACUGUGACGAAGCGUGAGUGACGGUAAUGGGUAAAGAAGCAACGGCUAACUACGUG